AUUGAACGCUGGCGGCAGGCCUAACACAUGCAAGUCGAACGCGUGGCGGACGGGUGAAUCACGUCUGGGAACCUGCCUGAUGACGGGGGAUACCUACUGGAACCGGUAGCUAUUCCCGCUUAGCAUCGGCUUUUCCCAGAUGGGAUUAGCUAGUAGGUGGGGUAAAGGCUCACCUAGGCGACGAUCCCUAGCGGGUCUGAGAGGAUGACCAGCCACACUGGAACUGAGACACGGUCCAGACUCCUACGGGAGGCAGCAGUGGGGAAUAUUGCACAAUGGGCGCAAGCCUGAUGCAGCCAUGCCGCGUGUAUGAAGAAGGCCUUCGGAUUGUAAAGUACUUUCAGCGGGGAGGCGGUACCCGCAGAAGAAGCACCGGCUAACUACGUGCCAGCAGCCGCGGUAAUAC
rnacentral:rRNA from 1 species